rnacentral:sRNA from 1 species
CGCAGGUUCGAAUCCUGCACGACCCACCAAUUUAACAUCAAACUCAGAUGUUGAACGUGAAGGAUAACGUUGCGUCAGCAACGGCCCGUAGGGCAAGGCGAAGCCGAGUCAUCCUGCACGACCCACCA